CAGACUGGUUAUAUAUACACACACACACAAGCGUAUACACACGGGAACACGACCGUUUAUUUGCUUUGUAUCCUGUAAAUAAUCGGCGAAGCGUUUGCUCCCACCUUUAACGAUAUUAGGAAAAGCCGCACCCAACUGCACCCCCUACGGUCGUUAACCCCAUACAUAUGUACUACGUACCAUCGUCUCGUUUAUCAGGGUACAUUUAUAGAACACGCGAUAGUCUACGGUUAAAAGGUGAAUUUUUUCGUAUUUACAAUUACAUUAAGAGCGUGUGAUAAGAAACGAGAAUAAAAAAAUAUAUAUAAAUAUAUAUUGUUAAUUAAUGUAGGACCGUACUUAGGAAAUUCUAUUACAUAUAUAUAAAUAAUACCUAUCUAUAUACUGCGAUCAAUUUUUGACAAUAUACGUGUAAUUUAUGAUUCGAGACGUUAUGUUAAUUCUCUCGUUUUAUCCAUCCGAUAGUUCACGCCUUCCAUUUGUAUUCCUUGUGCGUCCGUAGGAUGUAAUAAUAAUCUCUCUUUCAAAGGAAUGUCGAAUGAAAGCGGAUGUAACAAUACGCGUAUAAUUUCGUGCGUGCAAACGAUUCGCCCGACAUCGGCGGAUUUUGAUGAUCGUGAGUGUAAAUGUUACUUUAUUACACUUUCUUGAACGUGAUAAUUUUAAAAUCUCUGUACUUUGCGAGAAAAAAAAAA